rnacentral:rRNA from 1 species
CUACGGGAGGCUGCAGUCGAGAAUCAUUCGCAAUGGGCGCAAGCCUGACGAUGCGACGCCGCGUGAGCGAUUAAGGCCUUCGGGUUGUAAAGCUCUGUCGCAUGGGACGAAUGGUAAUGAGGUGAAUAAUCUUUUUAUUUGACGGUACCAUGUAAGGAAACUUCGGCUAACUCCGUGCCAGCAGCCGCGGUAAUACGGAGGAAGUAAGCGUUGUUCGGAUUUAUUGGGCGUAAGGGGCGUGUAGGCGGUUAUGUUAGUCAGACGUGAAAUCCCUCUGCUUAACAGAGGAACUGCGUUUGAAACUGCAUGGCUUGAGAUCAGAAGAGGAGAGCGGAAUUCUCGGUGUAAGAGUGAAAUCUGUAGAUAUCGAGAGGAACACCAGUGGCGAAGGCGGCUCUCUGGUCUGAUACUGACGCUGAGGCGCGAAAGCUAGGGGAGCGAACGGGAUUAGAUACCCCGGUAGUC